rnacentral:rRNA from 1 species
AAUCUUACCGGGUCCGGACACACUGAGGAUUGACAGGCAAUAUCUAAAUCGUUUAUAAUUCUAAAUUAUAAUACGUAUUUAGUGUUAAAUAUGCUAGUCCUUUCAUGAUUAUGUGAUAGGUGGUGCAUGGCCGUUCUUAGUUCGUGGAGUGAUCUGUCUGCUUAAUUGCGUUUCACUAAGGGCCCAUAAAUUCAAGGUAUGUUAGCUAUCGUUUCUCAAUUGACCCCUUGUCUUCGAUAAGCGCGUGUCUUUUAGAGUUUAAACAUUGCGCAUGCUGUUGGGUCCUGAAAGCAACGAACGUGACCGCAACGUCUUAUUGCCUUUAUCUUGCUAUAUUUUAAUUUAAUUAAAAAUAGCUAACAGAGGCUAAUUUAAAAUUAGACGGACCGCUGUACUUUUCUUAAACCAGAGGAAGGUUGCGGCAAUAACAGGUCUGUGAUGCCCUUAGAUGUUCCGGGCUGCACACGUGCUACAAUGAUCAGUACAGUGAGCAUCUCAAUAUUAUACACCGUAUUAAGCGCUUAGUUGCGAUUAUUGGCUCAUUAUUGGGUCUUUUAAUUGUAUUUCUAAUGCGCGCGGUAAAGCCUGCUUCGAGAGUAAGUGGGUAAUCCAUUGGAAGUAAUGAUUUCUCUUUUUAUAGCACACCUAUAUACGGCAUUCAUUCCCGGGACGACUAGUUUCGUCUUUUUUGUGCGAAUGUAAUGUAUUCUUUAUCCGAUGUGCGAUUGUCAAUUCAUGGGGGGACAGACCAUUGUUAAUUGUGG